GACGAACGCUGGCGGCGCGCCUAACACAUGCAAGUCGAACGGAGACACUCUGUUCACUGAAUGGUAGAAGGCGGCGGAACCAGAAAGGGAGCGUCGGUUUUUCUACUGUUGAGUGAAUAGAGUGUCUUAGUGGCGGACGGGUGAGUAGCGCGUGAAUAACCUGCCUUGCAGUGGGGAAUAACACACCGAAAGGUGUGCUAAUACCGCAUGAUGUAAGGGGAAGGCAUCUUCCUCUUACCAAAGAUUUAUCGCUGUGAGAUGGAUUCGCGUCCGAUUAGAUAGUUGGUGAGGUAACGGCCCACCAAGUCGACGAUCGGUAGCCGGACUGAGAGGUUGAACGGCCACAUUGGGACUGAGACACGGCCCAGACUCCUAC
rnacentral:rRNA from 1 species